rnacentral:lncRNA from 1 species
CUGCCAGCUCUGCCUCCUCCUCCCUCUCCCUUCCUCCCUCCUUCCUUCCUUCCGUCCUUCCCUCCGCUCCUCCUCCUCCCGCCUGGCUGCGGCCGCCGCGCUCCCGCCUCAGGGCCGCGGCUGAAAUGGCGGCUGAGGGGGGCGCCCGCCCCUCACGGCCGGCCCGGCGACGCCGCCAGUGGGCAGGUAACGCGCCGGGCGCUGCCCCCCUCCCCUUUAACUUUGUUGUGGUUAAUUAUUGAUUUGGGGGACUUGGGGUUGGUUUCUGCCUCUUCCCUGACAGAAGCCCAGGAGCAAGGGAGACACCUCGAGCCCCUGGAAGCGGUUUUAUCCCCUCGCACACCAUGAGCUGCCUCAGCCCUUGCUGCGGUUAAAAUAAAAGUCCUCGUUGCGGGCCCCGGCGUUAAGCAGCUUAAAACGUUGUCAAGCCAAGAGGAAAGAAGAGAAAUAUUUCCAGUGAAUAAAAGAGUCUGCGCGCAAAGAGGAGAAAAUGCAGGUUACUGAGCUGGGCCUGUGUGGGUCACAUUUCAGCUGUCCCUUCUCCCUAACGCCUAAAGAGAGAUCAUGCAAAGAUCUAUUUCUUCCCUGCUUGAAGGAAAGCCACAAAUCACCUUUUUAGGAGCAGAGGACUGCCCUGCUUAGCUCUUCCAGCCAUAGGAAAAGAGGGUCACCAACUUCUGCUUAUACCUAAAACAUUGGUCCAUCUCAAGCUGAGGAAUUGCCUGCAGCCCUACGCUUGUCCUGAACAUGCCACAUCUGCAAAURUGGCCUUCCAUGUCCUCUUCUCUAGAGGUGCUCAGCGCACAGCUCCUGCUUUAAGCUCCUGCUCUGCCGAUGCAAACCUUUUCUGGAAGGCAGCAGGAAGACACGUUURCUGUGGGAAGGUCUUCCGGUCCACUGCAGAAAUGGCACUGGGACCUGCAUCUGUGGAGGUCACUUGUGCCGCUGCUGACUGUCCCUUGGCAUACUUUCCAAGGAGGGCCCACUGCAGAUCCACAUCCUCUCUCCAGGAAAACUGGUCUCCUGGGGAGCGAGUGCUGGAAGGCUUGGAGGAGCAGGGAUUGAGAGACAGGACUGCUACUUUAGCAUCUCCCCUCCCAAUCUAACACACGUAAUGAGUGAGCUACUACUUUCUCCUGCUCGUGUCAGUGAGUGGUCACCCGGUGAGCUGCAAACAGGCCUCAGUGGAGAAUAUCCAAAGCCAGAAGCUUUGUCUUUGUAAAAGACAGCCUUGGGUGUUUACUUGGCUCUGAAUGCAUCUGUCUUCUGACCAUGGAACAACUGUUUCUUCAAAUCCGAUUUGGAAAAACACCUCACAAAGGUGAAAUCACUAUAAACAACUGCUCAGCCAAGCUUUUUGCUGCUACAGGGAUUGUGAGUGAGUCACCUCAAGCACGCAGCAGGCGUAGCAGACUGAGCACGCCUGCCGACGGGGGAGCGCACCUCCCAAAAUUUAAUCGAGGUACAACACAGACGUUCCGUAUGACUUCUUUGGAGGGACUGUGAAAUAUUUUCCUUGUCAAAACCAARGGUAGGAGUUCUUGUCCCCUGUUCCCCCAUGGCCACGCGGUUGUGGUCUAACCUUCCCAGCCCAUAAGAGCAGAGUCUUGCAGGCAACCCAAGAGUAGCUCCAGGGGCUACGGUUGUGUGAGGAUGUGACACAGAGAGGAAAAAAAGGAAAACAUUAUCAUACACGUCUGAGCACCAGAAAAACCAUGUUGAGAARUGCUCUGCAGGUUCUGCGUGGUUUGCAGUAAAGUCUGCAUUGCAUGCUUAUAUAUGUUUCCAGGGCACAGUGGAUAGUUAAAUGGGCAAUUCCUGUCAGAGAUCCCCUUUCAUUGUUCCUUCCCCACUUUUUUCUUUGCUUAAGCAAGGCAGUAAACUCACGGGCAAGUACAAAAAGAAAUGGCCAAAUCUGUCCAAAACCUUGUUUUAUUCAGGUCUGGGGAUAGAAAGGAAGCUGCACAAAGAGCAGGUAAUUCAAGGCCAACACGCACAGUACUAACAGUGAAAAUUGAGUUAGGUUCUUAGUGCUGGUAGUCAAUGUCGCCGGCACAUUGUAUGGAAGAAGGGCGUGAGGAAGGGAGAAUGAGGUAGAGACAGACGUGUCAGGCAUUAUAUCUGCUAAUGCACAAAUUGUCCGUGUCACCUCUUUUCAGAGAUGACUAGCAUGGAAACAGAACAUACUACUAAAAAUUGCUGAAUAGUUUUCAGUGGAUUACUUUGUACUACUGAAUUAGGAUUUCUAGAACACUGUAUAUUUUAAUGGCAUACCUUAUUUUCUUGUGUUUUUCCUGAAGACCUAAGGAAAGUUAGAGCCCGCACCCAAAAAAAGAUGGUAGCAGGAGUUCUGUUGCAAACCAAUUAGUUUUAAUUCUUAAAUCAUCGCAAUAAAUCAGUAAGAAUAUGUUGAUUAAAAUAAAAU